rnacentral:lncRNA from 1 species
GUUAGGAUGGCGGAUAAUUUUUUGCAAGCUUGGCGCUACACUCCUAAUCCCCUCAGUGAUCAAUCACAUGAGAUUAUUUGCCGGCUGCUGAUUGAUGGACUCGUCCGCCGAAUAGCGUUCUAAAAUGCAACAAUGACUGAAGUAUUUUUCAUAUAGAAUGAGCCACUAACUCAGAAGGUAAUGUCGUGAUGACAGUUUCAGGCCAUUGCAACUCUCCUUUUUCACCUCUUUCUCCCUUCGGGAGGUCCUCUCCCGACUCAAAGCAAAUGAGAUUGAUAAUGUGCAAGUUGAAAUGGACUCAAG